GUGCUCACUUUGGCAGCACAUAUAUUAAAGUUGGAAUGAAACAAAGAUUAGCAUGGCCCCUGAGCAAGGAUGACAAGCAAAUUUGUGGUGUUUCAUGUUUAA